rnacentral:lncRNA from 1 species
CGGCUGUCCCGGGCCACUCUCCACCGUUGCUCCCUCCUUGCGCUGACAUUUUUCUUGUUUUCUGCUGGUGAUGGAGAUCAAAGAGAGGGAGGAGAACGUGGAGGGGUUGAUCAAUGAUUGGGAGGAGGAAAGAGAUGCUGUUGCGAGAGAAAGAGAGAGAAAAGGAGAAGAGAAAGAAGAAUCUGAUUUGCUUUGUCCAGAGAUGCUUUGACGGUUUUCUACAUGACCGUGUAAGUAUCGUAUUGACUUUAUUUAUGAUCAUGCAUGCGAGAUAUUAACUAAACCGGCUUUGCAUAUCAAAGAUUUGGUACCCGAAUUGUAUAUUAAAAAAUAUUUAGGGAAUGUGAUUUCCUUCUUUACCAAAAUAUAUAUACAUGAUGGUUUUAGAAAGUUGUUUAGAUUUGUUUACAGAACUUCGUCAUCAGCAUCAAAUCAUGUCUUUGUAAUAGCAAGUUGCAAAAGUCAAACAAGUUUAGUUGAACGUGUUUGCAAUAUAUAUAUGUCGAUCAUCCUAGAGCAUAAGUAUAUAAAUUCAUUGCAUUUAGGUAUGUUCACAACAUGGAGGCAGAAGAGAUCAUCCAUCACAGUGGUGAGCAGAAUAGAAACUGACCAGCAGCUCCCUCCCUUUUCUCUUCUUUUUCUUAUGGAUCAGUUUAUAGGGUGAAUUAAGUCAAAUAGGAUUCAAAAUAGAGGAAAAAGAGAGGGAGUUGCUGGAUUGUCUUUUCAAGGAUGUUUUGGGAUUAAGCUAAACAGGGGACAUUGCUAGGGAAACACUAAAAUGGGGCACCUCACCAGAAAUGUCUAAAAAGAAAGAUUUUUUCUAGGAAUUCAUCCUUAAAUUUACCUACUUUCUACAACAGAAAAAGUCAAACUAGAAUCCAUCAUUAGAUGAGUGGAUCCACUUUAUUAUUCUGAGAGAAAUCUUUUGCAUUUGGAGUUGGACUUUCACCCAUCAUUGCUUAACAAUUAAGCAAGAUUGCAUUGUUGGUCUUAAGCAGAAAUGCUGUGGCUUCCAUCUGCUGAUGGCAAUAGCUUUUGGGUUGCUUUACAGUUAAGCAAGAUUAAGAUUGCACUGCUAAUGUAAUAGUGAUAUGGGUUCCAUGAACAAUGAAAUUACUGCUGGGUUGAUUAAUACUAGUGAUGCUAUGUGACCCCAAACUGUGGCUGGCACAGUUUCAAUUUUCAUAAACAUCUCAGAAAGUGAACUGGUAGUGAUCAGACACCCUAUUUCUUAUAAGAUUUUGUGUUAAUAACAACCGUUCUUUUUCCAUUUUCUCUGGUAAUUACAGAAAUUUGAGCUUGGAUGAGAUUCCUUGAGCACUCAGUAGACGUAAGCCUGUCAAAUUCACAUGACAUGAUAUAGUGAGCAUAAAAAGAGAGAUCAAGUUCAUGAGAUUUCUCUUAGUACAAGGUUAAAGAAGGAUGAACUAUUAUUAACGAGGUGCUAAUUUAAGAAUAUCGAUCUGAAAACCCUCAUUUUUGCUUCCUAAGGUAGUGAAAAAUUGGUGCUAUCAUUUGAUAGAUUUACUCAAAGCAGGAUGAUUAUGGUUUCUGUCAAGUAACUCAUGGAGCUGCCACUAUGAACAAGUCUGUCGAAACUAAUUGAUAAAGGCACAAAUUCUCUGGAUUCAAAG